AUAAAUUUCUUUGGGUUUAUUACAAAUGGUUUAUUUCAAAUGGAAAUGAACUUGUUUUCAUGAGUCUUAUGGUAACUUACAUUAUUUUUUUUAUAAAAAAAAUCUUUAUAUGUUUAAAUCUGGUCUUUAAAAAGGGCCAAUUAUAUACUUUAAUGGUUUUAAAUUUUUUCUGUUAUCUCGGUCGAGCCCCCAAUUGGGUUUACCAAUAGUGGAAAGAACAAGUGUUAAGAACUUACAGAUUUCCAUAAAACAAACCUGCUUCAUUAAUAAGAGUCAAGACCUACAGUGACCCACUUUAAGGGUAAUAAAUUUUUUCUGUUAUCCCGGUUGAGCCCCCAGUUGGGUUUACCAAUAGUAGAAAGAGCGUGUGUCAAAACAAACUUUAUAUGUUUAAAUCUGGUUCUUUAAAAAGGGUCAGUUAUAUUCUUUAAUGGUUUUAAAUUUUUUCUGUUAUCUCGGUCGAGCCCCCAAUUGGGUUUACCAAUAGUGGAAAGAACAAGUGUUAAGAACUUACAGAUUUCCAUAAAACAAACCUGCUUCAUUAAUAAGAGUCAAGACCUACAGUGACCCACUUUAAGGGUAAUAAAUUUUUUCUGUUAUCCCGGUUGAGCCCCCAGUUUGGUUUACCAAUAUAGAAAGAGCGUGUGUCAAAACAAACUUUAUAUGUUUAAAUCUGGUUCUUUAAAAAGGGUCAGUUAUAUUCUUUAAUGGUUAUAAAUUUUUUCUGUUAUCUCGGUCGAGCCCCCAAUUGGGUUUACCAAUAGUGGAAAGAACAAGUGUUAAGAACUUACAGAUUUCCAUAAAACAAACCUGCUUCAUUAAUAAGAGUCAAGGCCUACAGUGACCCACUUUAAUGGUUUUAAAUUUUUUCUGUUAUCCCGGUUGAGCCCCCAGUUGGGUUUACCAAUAGUAGAAAGAGCGUGUGUCAAAACAAACUUUAUAUGUUUAAAUCUGGUUCUUUAAAAAGGGCCAAUUAUAUACUUUAAUGGUUUUAAAUUUUUUCUGUUAUCUCGGUCGAGCCCCCAAUUGGGUUUACCAAUAGUGGAAAGAACAAGUGUUAAGAACUUACAGAUUUCCAUAAAACAAACCUGCUUCAUUAAUAAGAGUCAAGACCUACAGUGACCCACUUUAAGGGUAAUAAAUUUUUUCUGUUAUCCCGGUUGAGCCCCCAGUUGGGUUUACCAAUAGUAGAAAGAGCGUGUGUCAAAACAAACUUUAUAUGUUUAAAUCUGGUUCUUUAAAAAGGGCCAAUUAUAUACUUUAAUGGUUUUAAAUUUUUUCUGUUAUCUCGGUCGAGCCCCCAAUUGGGUUUACCAAUAGUGGAAAGAACAAGUGUUAAGAACUUACAGAUUUCCAUAAAACAAACCUGCUUCAUUAAUAAGAGUCAAGACCUACAGUGACCCACUUUAAGGGUAAUAAAUUUUUUCUGUUAUCCCGGUUGAGCCCCCAGUUGGGUUUACCAAUAGUAGAAAGAGCGUGUGUCAAAACAAACUUUAUAUGUUUAAAUCUGGUUCUUUAAAAAGGGCCAAUUAUAUACUUUAAUGGGUAAUAAAUUUUUCUGUUAUCCCGGUUGAGCCCCCAGUUGGGUUUACCAAUAGUAGAAAGAGCGUGUGUCAAAACAAACUUUAUAUGUUUAAAUCUGGUUCUUUAAAAAGGGCCAAUUAUAUACUUUAAUGGUUUUAAAUUUUUUCUGUUAUCUCGGUCGAGCCCCCAAUUGGGUUUACCAAUAGUGGAAAGAACAAGUGUUAAGAACUUACAGAUUUCCAUAAACAAACCUGCUUCAUUAAUAAGAGUCAAGACCUACA